GACGAACGCUGGCGGCGUGCUUAACACAUGCAAGUCGAACGGAAAGGCCCUGCUUGCAGGGUACUCGAGUGGCGAACGGGUGAGUAACACGUGGGUGAUCUGCCCUGCACUUCGGGAUAAGCCUGGGAAACUGGGUCUAAUACCGGAUAGGAGCCAUUUUUAGUGUGAUGGUUGGAAAGUUUUUUCGGUGUAGGAUGAGCUCGCGGCCUAUCAGCUUGUUGGUGGGGUAAUGGCCUACCAAGGCGGCGACGGGUAGCCGGCCUGAGAGGGUGGACGGCCACAUUGGGACUGAGAUACGGCCCAGACUCCUACGGGGGGCAGCAGUGGGGAAUAUUGCACAAAGGGCGCGAGCCUGAUGCAGCGACGCCGCGGGGGGGAUGACGGGCUUCGGGUUGUAAACUCCUUUCGCUAGGGACGAAGCUUUUUGUGACGGUACCUAGAAAAGAAGCACCGGCUAACUACGUG
rnacentral:rRNA from 1 species